rnacentral:rRNA from 1 species
UACAGAGGGCUCAAGCGUUAAUCGGAAUCACUGGGCUUAAAGGGUCCGCAGGCGGAUUGGAAAGUAUCUUGUGAAAUACCACGGCUCAACCGUGGAACUGCUCGGUAAACUUCCAAUCUUGAACACGGUAGGGGCCAUCGGAACUCUAGGUGGAGCGGUGAAAUGCGUAGAUAUCUAGAGGAACGCCAGAGGCGAAGGCGGAUGGCUGGGCCGUUGUUGACGCUCAGGGACGAAAGCAUGGGUAGCGAACGGGGAUGAUACCGUCCGUAGUC